rnacentral:rRNA from 1 species
ACGAGAGCGUGAGCUUAAGCGAAUCCCAAAAUAAACGUCUCAGUUCGGAUUGUAGUCUGCAACUCGACUACAUGAAGCUGGAAUCGCUAGUAAUCGCGGAUCAGCAUGCCGCGGUGAAUACGUUCCCGGGUCUUGUACACACCGCCCGUCACACCAUGGGAGUCGGAAAUGCCCGAAGCCAGUGACCCAAGCGAAACGCAGGGAGCUGUCGAAGGCAGGUCGGAUAACUGGGGUGAAGUCGUAACAAGGUACC